AUUGAACGUUGGCGGCAGGCCUAACACAUGCAAGUCGAACGGUAGCACAGAGGAGCUUGCUCCUUGGGUGACGAGUGGCGGACGGGUGAGUAAUGUCUGGGAAACUGCCCGAUGGAGGGGGAUAACUACUGGAAACGGUAGCUAAUACCGCAUAACGUCGCAAGACCAAAGAGGGGGACCUACGGGCCUCUUGCCAUCGGAUGUGCCCAGAUGGGAUUAGCUAGUAGGUGGGGUAACGGCUCACCUAGGCGACGAUCCCUAGCUGGUCUGAGGGGAUGACCAGCCACACUGGAACUGAGACAAGGUCCAGACUCCUACGGGAGGCAGCAGUGGGGAAUAUUGCACAAUGGGCGCAAGCCUGAUGCAGCCAUGCCGCGUGUAUGAAGAAGGCCUUCGGGUUGUAAAGUACUUUCAGCGAGGAGGAAGGCGUUGUGGUUAAUAACCGCAGCGAUUGACGUUACUCGCAGAAGAAGCACCGGCUAACUCCGUGCCAGCAGCCGCGGUAA
rnacentral:rRNA from 1 species